GAGGGUAUAGCUCAGUGGUAGAGCACAUACUUAGCUUGCACAAGGUCCUGGUUUCAAUUCCCAGUACCUCCA
rfam:Camelus ferus unplaced genomic scaffold scaffold1757, whole genome shotgun sequence.